GACGAACGCUGGCGGCGUGCUUAACACAUGCAAGUCGAACGGAAAGGCCCUGCUCUUGUGGGGUGCUCGAGUGGCGAACGGGUGAGUAACACGUGAGUAACCUGCCCUUGACUUUGGGAUAACUUAAGGAAACUGGGGCUAAUACCGGAUAGGAGCUCCUGCUGCAUGGUGGGGGUUGGAAAGUUUCGGCGGUUGGGGAUGGACUCGCGGCUUAUCAGCUUGUUGGUGGGGUAGUGGCUUACCAAGGCUUUGACGGGUAGCCGGCCUGAGAGGGUGACCGGCCACAUUGGGACUGAGAUACGGCGCAGACGCGUACGGGAGGCAGCAGUGGGGAAUAUUGCGCAAUGGGCGGAAGCCUGAUGCAGCAACGCCGCGUGCGGGAUGACGGCUUUCGGGUUGUAAACCGCUUUCGCCGGUGACGAAGCGUGAGUGACGGUAAUGGGUAAAGAAGCACCGGCUAACUACGUG
rnacentral:rRNA from 1 species